UUCAAGGGAAAUGAGUCAUAAUCCCCAGUCAUGGGAUCUGGGGACGGAUUUGAGCUCCCACUCUCACUCCCCAGUCCUUCUCCAGCUCUUUCUGGGUGCCGAUCUGAUCCCCCGUCUCUACUCUCACAGGAAGGCUUCCCCUAGUCUGCUGUUCAGCUUUCUCACUUUGAGAUGACCAAUCUCCAAGGAAGCAGAAGAGGGGCUGCUCAUGGAUCCCCAGGCCUGGGACCUCUUGGACACAGCCCUCCCACUGAAAUUCCUCCCAAGUCCAUGGGAACAGGGCCUGGUCAUCUCCCAUCACUCCAGGCACUUCUAACCAAUCAUCGGGAGUUUCUCUUGAGGAGAGUCACUGAGGGUCAUCUAAAUGCAGCCCUGGACGCUCUACGUUCCCGCCAGGCUUUGUCUCGGGCCAACUACGAGGCAAUCUGCUCAGCUCCCACGCUGACUGCCCGAAUCCGGGCCCUGUUGGACACCUGCCUCUCCCUAGGGGAAGAGGCCAUUCAGGUGGCUCUGGCUGUGCUCCUGGCUCCCCCUAGACGACAGGUCAGGGGGUUGGCUACAUCAAGCUAUUUGAGACCCUUGAGGGAAGGGCCUUAAGCACUUGGAAUGAUCCAAGGAAUCAUCGAGGUGGGGGACAAAGCAUUGAACCUUGAGUUGGGAAACCUAAGCUGAAGUUUUCACUGUUUUGUUCCAUACCUGCCCUUCCCCCUCUGGGGGCCUCAGUUUCCUUAUCUGUGAAAUGAGGUUGUCCUAGAUGACCCCUUCCAGAACUAACCGUUUUGAGUCUCUGGGUUCUAGGCACAACACUGUCAUGCUCAGGAACUGAGAGUGGAGAGGGCCAGGGCUUAGAGUGGCAAAGAACCAGGAGAGAAAAGAGCAGAUUUAGGGGUGGGUCACCACAGCCCUGGCAGGAAAAGGAAGGGUGUGGAACCUCCUUUGUUACCCAUCUUUCAAGGCUGAACUCUCAUUUCACUUCCUCAAAAACAAAAGGCCUUUUCUGACUUCCAGCCCCACUGACCUUCCUCUUUUCCGAGGCAGUGAUGGUACAGCAGAAAGACUAUGGAAUCCAAAGACAGGGUUCAAGUUUGAUCUCCGAUGCUUUUUACUGUGUGAUCUCAGUCAUGUCGCUGCACAUCUCUGGGCCUGCUUCCUCAUGUGUAAAAUGAAAUAUGAAAGAAAUGAUUACUAAUAAUCAAUUAUGAAUAUGGGGAGGUGGGGGAGGAAUCCAAGGUUUUUUCCCUUCUUAUUUCCUAAAGCCCUGUCUUUAUGAAGGACAGGGCUGACAAUGAGACAUUCUCCUCAAUAUUGGGUGGGAUACCAUUGAACUGGGAGAGCAUAUUCUGCUUAAAGGGUAAAGAGAAUCUAAUAAUCUCAGGUGUUUGGACCAGGUGGCCCCUAUGGUCCCUUCCAGCUCUAUGUUGGUGAGCUAUGAUACUUAACGAUAUUGAUUCUAUACCGUUUGUGUUCUCUGUUUUGUGUGUAGGAACAACUGGAAGCACUGUCAUCCCCCACACUGGCCUCUAAGCUUCUUGCAGGCUGUGUUUUACUUUCCUGUCUCCCUCAGUGCCUUGCACUGGAAUGGGGAAUACUCAUUGUUUAUUUGGUUGACAGGACCCCGGGAGUUCUUCCAGGUGUUAUUCUUGGGCAUUAUGAGGCAUGUGGAUAAGGCCCAAAAUAUAGAAGAACAUUAGGGGAAUAUGGCAAAACCCAGCCUCCGAGUAGCCACAUUGUUCCCCUUCUUUGCCUGGCAUUCAGUCUGGCCCUUCACUAAAUUGGGACAUCCCUUGGUGCCAGCUUUGGCAUAUUCCCCAUGGAUCAGCCUCUAGAUCCCUUUACCCUGCCUCAAGCACAUAUCUGUUUCUACCAUAGGUUGGAUCUGGGGUUGAUAUGCUCAUGAAAGAGACCAGAAAGGCCUGUUAUCAAGCAGGCCUUCUCACUAGGUUCAACUGGAGACGAUGAAGGAGGCAGUUUGGUUUAAUGGAAAGACCACUGGAUUUGAAGUCAGACUACUGGCAGAAACACCUCAGAUUCAUUAUGUGUUUGAUUUUUAAUGAAUUUUUAGUCAUUACAUGUUCAGAAACCUUUUACUGUUGCCAAAUUUUUUGCAACUCUAUAUGGGGUUGGGACUCACAGUUUAAGAAACACUGCUGUAGACUAUGAAUUAAUAUUAGUACUGAACAUAUAUAUACUAAAUGACAUAGGAUCUAAAUUCUUAAAGGAAAAGUUAAAGGAGUUACAUGACAAAAAAAGACAGUAAAACUGUAAUAGCAGGGGAUCUCAAUUUUACCUCUUUCAGACCUAAACUACCAAGCAUUCAAACUCUGCUUCAGGGAGCACAACUUUGAUGGGCUGGCCACACUGUUUGAAUGCAAAAGGUAUGCUUGUCAAAAAGACUAUUUUAUAAAGAAUUCACACAGGGCAAGCGCUCACAUGGCAGUCAGAAGAAAUGAUACAAGGACACUCUCAAAGUCUCUCUUAAGAACUUUGGAAUUGCCAAAGGAUUCGUGAUGGAAAAUGCCAUCCACACCCAGAGAAAGAACUAUGGAGUCUGAGUCCAGAGAGAAGCAGACUAUUUUCUUUUUUGUUGUUCUUUUUUGUUUUGUUUUGUUUUUUCUUUCUCAUGGUUUCUCCCAUUUGUUGUAAUUCUUCUAUACAACACGACUAAUGUGAAAAUAUAUUUAAUAGGAAUGUAUAUAUAGAGCCUAUAUAGCCUAUAUCAGAUUGCAGGUCUUCUUUGGGAGGGAGGGGGAGAAAAUUUAAAACUUAUAGAAGUGAAUG